AGCACAGCAGAGAAAUAGUUGGCAAAUGAUGGGAUGAGUGGUAACUCCUAGGUUCCAAAAAGAUUGAUGCAAUCCAAAAGCCCAACAUCCUUCCCAAAUGUACAUAAUAACAGAAGUUUAAGAGCUGCUUCAAGGGCAGAAACCAACUUGGAGACCUUUCCCUUGACUUAACAGGCUUUAGGAAAGAGAUUGUCCAGCAUUUCCAUUUGAGCCCUACUUAAAGCUGCAGAUCUAUCAGUGUGGUGUACAAACAUGACAGCUAAGCAAAGCCACAGGCCACCAACUGCUGAUGGUCCAAGACCUCCAUAUGAGGACAAACAUUCCCAGGCUCCACUGGCAAAAGCAAUGUAUUCAGAGCCAAGACACCAGGCUUGUCCCUGACCUGUCCCUGGAAAUCACCUGAAUCAUGUCAGUGUUUUCGUCUCUGUCUUUUCAUCUGAACAUGGAAAUAAUGUGUCCACAUAGGAAUGUCAUGAAUCUGAAGUCUAUAUCCCUUGCCAUCUAGAAAAACUAUCUUGUGUAUCAUGAAGCUUUAAUACCUCCUUUUUAUUGAUUUUAUCCUGACCAUGCCCUGUAUUUCUUAAUUUGCCUUUUUUUUUUUUUUUGCUUAUUUAUUUCUCUAGUUGCAUAUCUUUUGAAGCAAGAGAGUAAAUUAUCUUUAUCCUGCAU
rnacentral:lncRNA from 1 species